GAUGAACGCUAGCGGCAGGCCUAAUACAUGCAAGUCGAACGGUGUCUUCGGACAUAGUGGCGCACGGGUGCGUAACACGUAUGCAACCUACCUUACAUUGGGGGAUAGCCUUCCGAAAGGGAGAUUGAUACCGCAUAAGACAGUAGCUGGGCAUCCAGCAGCUGUUAAAGAUUUAUCGAUGUAAGCUGGGCAUGCGUCCAAUUAGCUAGUUGGUGGGGUAACGGCUCACCAAGGCAAUGAUUGGUAGGGGAACUGAGAGGUCAAUCCCCCACACUGGCGCUGAGAUACGGGCCAGACUCCUAUGGGAGGCAGCAGUAGGGAAUAUUGGGCAAUGGACGCAAGUCUGACCCAGCCAUGCCGCGUGCAGGAUGAAGGCGUUAUGCGUUGUAAACUGCUUUUAUACAGGAAGAAACGACUCUUGCGAGAGGCAUUGACGGUACUGUAUGAAUAAGCACCGGCUAACUCCGUGCCAGCCGCCGCAGUAACAC
rnacentral:rRNA from 1 species